GCAAUGGAACGCCCACCUCAUCAUGAUCAGCCCGUAAAGCCCCAGGGAAGGAGUCGAUAACCCACGCACCGAAUCCUGAUAUCAUCACUACAGCUCUCA
rnacentral:ribozyme from 1 species